ACUAUCAAUGGCAAUGAUGUCUGCCUCGAACCGCUUUUUAUAACUAGAAGCUGAUGACGUCUAUUUAAUG
rnacentral:ncRNA from 2 species